AUUGAACGCUGGCGGCAGGCCUAACACAUGCAAGUCGAGCGGAUGAAGGGAGCUUGCUCCUGGAUUCAGUGGCCGACGGGUGAGUAAUGCCUAGGAAUCUGACUGGUCGUGGGGGAUAACGUCCGGAAACGGGCGCUAAUACCGCAUACGUCCUGAGGUAGAAAGUGGGGGUUCUUCGGACCUCACGCUAUCAGAUGAGCCUAGGUCGGAUUAGCUAGUUGGUGGGGUAAAGGCUUACCAAGGCGACGAUCCGUAACUGGUCUGAGAGGAUGAUCAGUCACACUGGAACUGAGACACGGUCCAGACUCCUACGGGAGGCAGCAGUAGGGAAUAUUGGACAAUGGGCGAAAGCCUGAUCCAGCCAUGCCGCGUGUGUGAAGAAGGUCUUCGGAUUGUAAAGCACUUUAAGUUGGGAGGAAGGAAAGUGAGUUAAUCCCUUGCUGUUUUGACGUUACCAACAGAAUAAGCACCGGCUAACUUCGUG
rnacentral:rRNA from 1 species